CUUUUGCAGAAUCUCUUCAGGAUGUGGGGCUGAAGGCACUGACCUGCUGUGUCAGUCUCAUUUCUGCGGCUGUGAGAGAAGCAUGACCAAAGGCAACUUAAAGAAGGGAGUUUAUUUUGGCUUAUGGUUCCAGAGCAUCCAAGCCAUAGAGCAGAGGCACAGAGGCAAGACACAGGCAUGACGACAGGAGCAGAAAGGGAUCAAGGAUUCAAAUACCAAAGCCUACAGAGGACAUACACCUUAAAACCAGCAUACCUACUAAGGCUAAUUUUUAAAACUGGAGGGGAGAGGUGAAGAAACAGAAACAUUUGGAUAAGAUUCAGAAGUUCGGAAGAAAGCACAAAAGCGAUGGAGUACUUCUGAAGCCAGAAGCUGGGAGGGGUGUGCAAAGCAAUGCUAUAAUUACUGGAUUUUGUUGCUAAUUUCUAGAGCUUCUGGCUCUUAAAUCUCUUCUUACUUAACAUAAAAAAAUUACACAAUAUAUUUUUGAUCACAUUCUUCCUUUUCCCUCAACCCCUACAAUCUCUCUCUUAAAUCUUCUGGAAAGAUACAAUAAUACUGAAUAAAAUAAAUACAGAAGAGACAGAGGCUCCGUGCAAUGAUGAGCACCACAGGCAAGCAGGUAAGACACAGCAUGCGAACUUGGGUGGUUUUGGCAUCUUCUCCUGUGUAAACCUC